rnacentral:rRNA from 1 species
AGCAGCCGCGGUAAUUCCAGCUCCAAUAGCGUAUAUUAAAGUUGUUGCAGUUAAAAAGCUCGUAGUUGAAUUUCGGGAUCAAGGAAUCGGUCAUGCCUUGGUAUGUACUGGUUUUAUUGGUUCUCACCUUCUAAAGAACCAUAAUGUCAUUUAUUUGAUGUUAUGGGGAAUUAGGACUGUUACCUUGAAAAAAUUAGAGUGUUUAAAGCAAGCUUACGCUUGAAUACAUUAGCAUGGAAUAAUGAAAUAGGACAUCAGAUUCUAUUUUGUUGGUUUCUACGAUCGAUGUAAUGAUUAAUAGGGAUAGUUGGGGGCAUUAGUAUUCAAUUGUCAGAGGUGAAAUUCUUGGAUUUAUUGAAGACUAACUACUGCGAAAGCAUUUGCCAAGGAUGUUUUCAUUAAUCAAGAACGAAAGUUAGGGGAUCGAAGACGAUCAGAUACCGUCGUAGUCUUAACCAUAAACUAUGCCGACUAGGGAUCG